UACGGGGGGGGCAAGCGUUGUUCGGAAUUACUGGGCGUAAAGGGCUCGUAGGUGGCCAACUAAGUCAGACGUGAAAUCCCUCGGCUUAACCGGGGAACUGCGUCUGAUACUGGAUGGCUUGAGUUCGGGAGAGGGAUGCGGAAUUCCAGGUGUAGCGGUGAAAUGCGUAGAUAUCUGGAGGAACGCCGGUGGCGAAAGCGGCGUGCUGGACCUCUUCUGACGCUGAGGCGCGAAAGCCAGGGGAGCGAACGGG
rnacentral:rRNA from 1 species